GUAAAGUUUUUGAAGGGGUCUGGAAUGUUUAUGGGAAUAUCAGAGUGUGAUGGUUAUAUGAUGGAUUUAGGAAAGCGUGAGGAUGAGGAUGUGAAUAAGUUGUAUGAAGUGAUUUUUCAAGUGUCAAAGCGUAAGCCGAGUAGAACUUUGAUGGUAGAACAUCAAGUUUUGCCUGGUAAUGUGACUAUAGGCAAUUUCAGGGAUAUUUGGUGGA